rnacentral:rRNA from 1 species
GAUGAACGCUGGCGGUGUGCCUAAAACAUGCAAGUCGAGCGAACAGACGAGGAGCUUACUCCUCUGACGUUAGCGGCGGACGGGUGAGUAACACGUGGAUAACCUACCUAUAAGACUGGGAUAACUUCGGGAAACCGGAGCUAAUACCGGAUAACAUGUUGAACCGCAUGGUUCAACAGUGAAAGACGGUCUUGCUGUCACUUAUAGAUGGAUCCGCGUCGCAUUAGCUAGUUGGUAAGGUAACGGCUUACCAAGGCAACGAUGCGUAGCCGACCUGAGAGGGUGAUCGGCCACACUGGAACUGAGACACGGUCCAGACUCCUACGGGAGGCAGCAGUAGGGAAUCUUCCGCAAUGGGCGAAAGCCUGACGGAGCAACGCCGCGUGAGUGAAGAAGGUCUUCGGAUCGUAAAACUCUGUUAUUAGGGAAGAACAAAUGUGUAAGUAACUAUGCACGUCUUGACGGUACCUAAUCAGAAAGCCACGGCUAACUACGUG